GGCCAACGGGUUAAUAUUCCCGUGCUUCUUAUAAUUGUGAUGGGGCGACGGAGUGAUGAAAGCACCGCGAACUGACGGAAUAGUUCGUUAAAGUACCUAGCUAUAGGGUUUGUAGUUAAAUGCGCAGACCUUGGUGAAAUACGAUAGUACACGGAGCCUUCGGGCAAAGUGAUAGUGUGCCUAAGGGCUUCCAAGAAAAACCUCUAAACUUAGAUUAUAAGAACCCGUACCGUAAACCGACACAGGUAGUCGAGGAGAGAAUCCUAAGGUGCUCGAGAGAUUCAUGGCUAAGGAAUUAGGCAAAAUAGACCUGUAACUUCGGGAGAAAGGUCGCCAGCAGCAAUGCUGGCCGCAGUGAAAAGGUCCAGGCGACUGUUUAUCAAAAACACAGGUCCAUGCGAAGUC
rnacentral:rRNA from 1 species